CUUUACUGUAGCUUGGAAUUGGGUUCGGGCUUUGACUACGCAGGAUAGGUGGGAGACUAUGAAGCUGCCCUUGUGGGGGCAGUGGAGUCAUCAGUGAGAUACCACUCUGUCAAGGCUAGAAUUCUAACCGUCUGCCGUUAUCCGGCGACGGAACAGUAUCAGGUGGGCAGUUUGACUGGGGCGGUCGCCUCCUAAAUGGUAACGGAGGCGCGCAAAGGUUCCCUCAGGCUGGUUGGAAAUCAGCCGAAGAGUGUAAAGGCAGAAGGGAGCUUGACUGCAAGAGCAACAACUCAAGCAGGGACGAAAGUCGGCCUUAGUGAUCCGACGGCGCUGAGUGGAAGGGCCGUCGCUCAACGGAUAAAAGUUA
rnacentral:rRNA from 1 species